CAGAGCCACACAUGGAUAUCUUUUGGUGCUUAACCAUGAGAGCCUUGUGGAGUUCCUGGAAUGUGGGAUCCUGGAGUGUUGGACCUCUAAGAAUGUAGCCCCUAGGAAUUUCCCACUCUCAUUCUAGUCUAAACUCAGACUCCGGGAAUUCAUCAAUAAUAGCAUUUAAAUGUUCUGCAAAUUUGUAGCUUCAGCAGCUUCUCUUCUAGAUCUGACUGGAACCUGCCCAAAUCCUCUGAGAUCUCUUUCAUUGAUUUAAUAUCCCCAUCUCCUAACUUUUGCUUGUAUUGCUGUUAACGGCUCCCACCUGGAAACUCCUCCAGAGUACUGUCUUUGUAUGAAUGGAUCAACCCUGCGGUUUAUAUCACCCCACAAUCUGAGAAGAAGAAGAGAUGCCAGAGAUCUGUCCCUCUGCAAGCAUAUGGAGGAAAAGAUGGGAUAAUAAACCAAGAAGUGAGCUGUCUGCAAGUCAAGAAGAAAGCCCUCACCAGGAAUGGAAUUGUUCAGUACUUUGGUCGUGGAUGUUUAGCUUCCAUAUCUGUGAGAAGGCAAAUAUCUGUUGUUUAAGCCACUCAGUCUGUGGUAUUUUGUUAUGACAGUUUGAGCAGACUAAUAAAUCCCCUUCUUUAUCUAUUAUUCUCUUUCUUAUAAGCUUCUCUUGCUAGAAUACCCUUAAUGCAUCACUUACAUAAGAAUACCCAUCUUAGGUUCUGGGUCUAGAAGUACUGAAUUUAAAGAGUGAUUUAUUGGAAUAUUAGAUUAAAGAAAAAAGUGUGGGGAUAUCUCCAGAAUUGGGGCUGUGAUACUGAAAGCAGAUAAUAGAGAAAACAUGGGAUUUGAUUCUUUCUGUCACUAACUAAGGGUGGUAAUUUAUUUGUCAGAUCAUCUACUUUAAUGAGACUGAAUUUCUCCAUUUUUAAAUUGGAUUACUAUGACUUUAAACC
rnacentral:lncRNA from 10 species